UAUUGGUAUUUGUUGUUGAAACUUGAAACCCCGUCACGGGUACUCUACACACUACACGUUGGAGUUGGGGGUCAGGCUGGCGAAACGCACCCCGUGACGUCGAUGACAUCGUAGAUGGGUACAUCACUGAUGUGUGUUUCAUAUUGUUUCAGGUAUUAUCUAUGCGAAUGCCAAGAUUUCGUCCCGACUCGUACGGCUGAAGAGUGAUGCUGAGUGUUCUCCCGUAUGCCCGACACCUAUGGCUGAUCAAAGACGCAUUCGCCACACCGUUUGAGGAAGAUGUUUAUACUGAAUGCAUGGAGACAUAUAAUUCAGAAAAUUAUAAAUCACGCCGCAAAGAUCGUUUCGGGAUGUUCACGACGGACAUACGCCACGCCGCUUCUGACACAACUCGAGUGGCUGAGCUGUGAGUCUCCAUUGCUCGAAAGGGACACUCACUGUCUUCAGGCUGACACACUCGCAUCUGGCUCCUGACCAUCUGAAACGGCUGCUGACACAGCGUAGCGAGGUGUCAAGACGAAGUACCCGGGCUACGGAUGCUGGUCUCCUGCAGCUGCCACGGGUGCGCUCAGAGCGAGCGCGGCGGCACUUCUGUUAUAGAGCCGCCAAGAGCUGGAACGAGACCUUGGAGGCUGUCAGGGAGCCAGUAGUUGUCGCCACAUUUAGUCAUCUCUCUCCAGUCUCCAUGGCUACUGAAUGAAGACCUGGACUCCUGAAUAGAAUGCAGUACAAACUACUGACCUACUCCCAAGAACCAGCACCGCCUGCUACUCUAAGUUCACCAGCUGACAGCUGUUGGCAAAACUUUCACUGGUAACCUUGUCCCUCACAAUAACUGGUAUUAGAUUGGCAGCCUGAAGCCCAUCAACUGUGAUGUGUUAUGAACAGGUGAUCUGUGAAUGGUGAUCACACAGUGUGUGCGUGCAUUAACAAUUAAUCCUGUAUUUUUUAAUAAAAAUGUUGAAAAUAU